rnacentral:rRNA from 1 species
CCGAUGAUACUGCAUGGUAGCGUGUGGGAAAGUAGGUCGCCGCCAAGGAAUAUUUCAAGCCCCCAGUCUCUGACUGGGGGCUUUUGUUUUGCCCGACGAACGGCCGGCUUCCGAGAGCAGGCCAUCCGCCCAUUUCCCGAAAGAGCGGGUGAUCCUCACGUAUGACCUAAUACGUUGCGGUCACCCGCCCAUUCGAAAAAUACCCGGCUGACCCAUUCUCGAAAGCCUUGUCCGUGCGGACGCGGGAAGAGAGCCGCUGUUGGUGCGCCAGGAAGGCCGGUGAGCGGGUGCCGGUGUUCUCUGGUGCCAAGGGGCCGUGUCAGAGGGGGGCGGGUGAUCCCCUCCUGGCUGAUUCCCUGCCGCUGUAUGGCCAGCCGCUUCCAAUCCGCUGAUAACGCCAAAUCCCAAUAAUCGCUUGUACACGCCACCGUAUGUCUCGGGGACUCGCCUGCAGCUCGCCCGGAGGCUCGCCUGAUCCGCCUCCCGGGGCCUCACUGCGUGGGGAUGUAGAGGGUGGGAUCAGCGAUUGGUGCGCGGAGAUACGACGACUGCGAUUCCAGGAAGGGGCAGGGGGAGAACCCGCUUGAUUGGGGAAUUGACGUGCUUUGCCUGGGCAAGGUGCUGCCGCCGUCCUGGUGGUACGUGCCAGGUCCCUUCAAAGGGUGACGCAUAGGAGCGGCAAAAGGACCUCGCCGACCUCGAUGCGACCGGCCUUGUGCGGCUCGAAGAGGCUCCAAACCGCCUCUGGAAUGCACCCCGAACCCGUUCCCGGAAGCUCCAUUCGACGGGGCCCCGGCGCGGAAAUCCACGGCUGGCGCGGCUUGCGAGGCCAUGAGGCCAGGGCGCAGAAAAAACUGAAAAAAGGGGUUGACGGAGGCGGGCCAAAAGCAUAGUUUCCCCUUCCUGCCUGAGGGCGGGGCCGACAUCGGGUUCGACGAAAAAAAAGUUGAAAAAGGUGUUGACGGGGGCGACGCAAAAGCAUAGUUUCCCCUUCCUGCCUGACGGCGGGAUGUUCUUUGAGAAAAAGACGAAAUGGUCUUUGACAAUUAAAUAGCGAGUUGAGCAAAUAAGAUCACGAAAUCACAGCCCGUUUAAUAACGAGUUUG